ACUGAGCACCUCUGCCUUUGAUCUUGGUGGGAUCCUGGGUGCAGGCACCCAAAGAAUCAGGGAAGGAGGGACAGACAGAAGGAAGAAAGAGAGGACGGGAGGGCCCAGCACAGGACCUGGAACCUAGGAGCUUCUAUCACCCCACAGGUCAUAACCAGAAACAUCCGCAUCCAGGACAUAUGUGUCAGGCCUCAGAAAAAUGCUUCUGCACAAUUCCUGGCUGCUGUCCUUGAACAGAAGGUAGCUAAGCCUGAUCACCUUGGAGAUCUGUGGUUGCAACAUUGGAGACAGACACGAUUUCCAAAGAGCAGAAGGGAUUUAGCCAAGGAAAAAGACUGAGAAAGGGAAGAGAAAGACAGAUUGGUCAAUUUGUUAGAUCUUCAAGCAGCAUAACUACAACAGAAUCUUGCAAAGAGAAGCAUCAUUUCCC
rnacentral:lncRNA from 1 species